UGUACGUUUGAAAAAAUAAUAUAUACUAUUCAUUGUAUUGAAUUCAAUACAAUGAAUAGUAUAUAUUAUUUUUUCAAACGUACAGC